ACGCUGGCGGCGUGCCUAAUACAUGCAAGUCGAGCGAACGGACGAGAAGCUUGCUUCUCUGAUGUUAGCGGCGGACGGGUGAGUAACACGUGGAUAACCUACCUAUAAGACUGGGAUAACUUCGGGAAACCGGAGCUAAUACCGGAUAAUAUUUUGAACCGCAUGGUUCAAACGUGAAAGACGGUCUUGCUGUCACUUAUAGAUGGAUCCGCGCUGCAUUAGCUAGUUGGUAAGGUAACGGCUUACCAAGGCAACGAUGCAUAGCCGACCUGAGAGGGUGAUCGGCCACACUGGAACUGAGACACGGUCCAGACUCCUACGGGAGGCAGCAGUAGGGAAUCUUCCGCAAUGGGCGAAAGCCUGACGGAGCAACGCCGCGUGAGUGAUGAAGGUCUUCGGAUCGUAAAACUCUGUUAUUAGGGAAGAACAUAUGUGUAAGUAACUGUGCACAUCUUGACGGUACCUAAUCAGAAAGCCACGGCUAACUACGUG
rnacentral:rRNA from 1 species